CAGCGUUUUGUUUAAUCCAUGUAAAGUUCAUAUAUAGUGGUGGUAUUGAUAACACAUCGAAAGCAGAAAUCGAAUGCCCACCAGGAUACACGAACAACUGUACUUUCCCGUGUCGAUAUCCAAGCUUUGGUCCAGCUUGCCAAGAGAAAUGCAAUUGUAAGGAGUCAGAUUGUAGCAGCAAAACAGGGU